UACGAUAAAGGCAAACCCUGAGUGAUCAGGGGACGCAAAGUAACAGGAUCUCUGGUAUACCCGGCGAACUAGCGAACAGACAGACAGCCUUACUGCCGAAG
rnacentral:ncRNA from 1 species